GUAAAUUCCAUGAAGGGAAUCAGUAAAGACAGAGGAACCGUCUUCAGAGAGCUGUGACUGGUGUGAUGCAGCGUCGGAACUGCCUUGAAUAUCAUCCCUGAGAAGGAAAGCCGAAAGUUUCAGACAAGUAAGUAGGUUUUCACGGGUGCUUCCCGUUACAGAAGUCGCGUAUGCCGGUACGUUGCAGAAUCGUGCUUGUUUCAAUGGAGAAACAGGGUGGUUGCGGAAGUUUAUAUCCGUCCCUGAG
rfam:Ruminococcus sp. CAG:9-related_41_34 Ley3_66761_scaffold_3180, whole genome shotgun sequence.